rnacentral:rRNA from 1 species
CGUCCUAUUAGCUAGUUGGUGAGGUAAUGGCUCACCAAGGCUACGAUGGGUAGGGGUUCUUAGUGGAAGGUCCCCCACACUGGCACUGAGAUACGGGCCAGACUCCUACGGGAGGCAGCAGUAGGGAAUAUUGGUCAAUGGGCGCAAGCCUGAACCAGCCAUGCCGCGUGCAGGAUGAAGGCUCUUUGAGUUGUAAACUGGUUUUGUACAGGAGCAAAAAAAUCCCUGCGGGGGUUCUUGAGAGUACUGUAAGAAUAAGCACCGGCUAAUUCCGUGCCAGCAGCCGCGGUAAUACGGGAGGUGCAAGCGUUAUCCGGUUUUAUUGGGUUUAAAGGGUGCGUAGGCGGCUUAUUAAGUCAGUUGUGAAAUCCUAGUGCUUAACGCUAGAACUGCGAUUGAUACUAUU